rnacentral:rRNA from 1 species
UAUGGGGAUCUGCUCGAUAGAGGGGAAUAACUACUGGACACGGUGGCUAAUACCGCAUAAUGUCUACGGACCAAAGCAGGGGCUCUUCGGACCUUGCACUAUCGGAUGAACCCAUAUGGGAUUAGCUAGUAGGUGGGGUAAAGGCUCACCUAGGCGACGAUCUCUAGCUGGUCUGAGAGGAUGAUCAGCCACACUGGGACUGAGACACGGCCCAG